GGCCUCCUGGUACUUACCACAUUCUGCAUUCUUACACUAACUGUAUAGGAAAAGGAGACAAACUAAACCUACCCCACAUACACCUCAGGCCAGGUCCUGUGCUUAGUCUAUAUUGUGAAUGGGAGACAUGG
rnacentral:snoRNA from 1 species